UACGUAGGGUGCGAGCGUUAAUCGGAAUUACUGGGCGUAAAGCGUGCGCAGGCGGUUCGUUAUGUCCGAUGUGAAAGCCCCGAGCUCAACUUGGGAAUGGCAUUGGAAACUGGCGGGCUGGAGUGUGGCAGAGGGGGGUGGAAUUCCGACGUGUAGCAGUGAAAUGCGUAGAGAUGUGGAGGAACACCGAUGGCGAAGGCAGCCCCCCUGGGCCAACACUGACGCUCAGGCACGAAAGCGUGGGGAGCAAACAGG
rnacentral:rRNA from 1 species